AGGGCCUGGCGUAAAAACGGAAUGUAUAAAUGGAUACAGAUUGAAUUGGUCCAAGCCUGAUGGUGCGGGCAGAUAUCCUGGUCGGUCACCUGCAGACCACGAUGACUUAGGGGAGAGCAUCUGACGCCGUCACCCGUACAGCCUGGCUACGUCGACAGCACAGAGACGGUGCCAAGGUGCUCCUUGCUCUUUUCCCAUCUCACAUCUGCAUGGAGACGAACCGGGGGAAGCCGGGCUGUUCAGGAGCUACG